GUCACAGUGCUAUGUUGGGGUGAAGAGGCCUGGAGAAAUUGCCAGGGAAGACCUCUUAUAAAGGCAAGAGGUCUGGUUUAAAAUCCUGCAGGGGUCAUUUACCUGCAUCUUUGUCAGGGCAUCUUUUUCAUUUUGCUUUGUGUUAAUCUUAUCUCUGUCUUUUCAUUCAUUCAACAAAAAGUGACUACUAUGUGUAACCAAUUACCAUGGUGAGAAAAAGGAGGCAAGGUUUUUGCUUUUAUAGAAUUAAAAAAAAAUCUGUACACAAAAAUACUUGCAUAAAAUGUUAAAUGACAACUGUUGUAAGUGUAUAUGGGAGAGAUAAUUGUUUGAGGAGGUUUGGCCUAGUUAAGGAAAUCAAGGUGGCCUUCCUCAGGAAGUGAUGGUGAGCAGCAAUAUGAAGGAUGAGUAGGAGUUAAAGAGGGAGGGGAUGACAUUACAGAGGUGACAGAUGUACAAAGUCCCUGUGGUGGAGGAGGCCACAGUAUGAGUAAGGGACAGAAGGUCCCUGUGACUGAGAGUGUAGAAUAAAGAGCAUGAGACAGUCUUUUCCAAAGAGGCAUGAGGGCUUCUAAGCAUGGGUUUGAAGUAAUCAGAUUAACGAGAUGGUUGCAGAUAGAGAGAGAGAGAGAGAGAGAGAGAGAGAGAGAGACAGAGAGAGAGAGAGAGAAAGGGAUGAAUGGAUUAUAGGGAUUCAAGAGGAGAUGUGGAUGGACCAGUAUAGAAGUUUUUGCUGUAGUUCAGGAAUAAAUGAUGAUCACCUGAUCAAGAGAGUCCUUCACACCACUAGUGGAUGCUGUUGCUCAGAGGGACCCAGCAUGUGAUGACAAUUGAUUGAAUCUUGGUGGAGAAGUACCUGAAAUAUCAUAUUUCUCUUGGAUAGCUGUUCACGCACAGUAACCCUGAGGGAUGAGUAAGUAAUAAUUAAGAAAACAGGUUCAGAGAAGUGACUUGCCCAAGGUCACAUCUAGCAAGUGGCUACACCAGCUCUCUUAAUUCUACUUCGGGUACUGCUUGGACAUCAUAUUUAAAAAAUGAGACAUAUGUACUAUUAUUUGUAAUACUUUAAACAAUAAAAUAAAAUAUUUUACCUCCAGGUAAUGUAUCCCACAGUUUUGUUAUGUAGUUCUUUCAUAGUUGUUCAUAUUUUAUAAUUUUUAUUGACUUUAUCUUAAAUCUGCAGUACAUUUAAGGGUAUGUUUGUUUCCAAUGUAAUCACACUGUGGAUAGAAAAGAUGGUUUGUUCACUAUACAUUCUUUAAAAUGUGUUGAGACUUGCUUUGCUAAAGUCGUCAAUGUGUGCUUAAAAACGAUAUGCAUUUUCUAUUCAGAUUCAGGCUUCCAUGUACCUAUACUGGACCAGGUUUCCUAAAUUAGUUCUUCAUCUCUUACAUAUCUUUCCUCUCUUUUUGUCUGUUUGACGGGUCAGGUCCUAAUUAAAGUAUGUUACAAAUA